AUUGAACGCUGGCGGCAGGCCUAACACAUGCAAGUCGAACGGUAACAGGAAGAAGCUUGCUUCUUUGCUGACGAGUGGCGGACGGGUGAGUAAUGUCUGGGAAACUGCCUGAUGGAGGGGGAUAACUACUGGAAACGGUAGCUAAUACCGCAUAACGUCGCAAGACCAAAGAGGGGGACCUUCGGGCCUCUUGCCAUCGGAUGUGCCCAGAUGGGAUUAGCUAGUAGGUGGGGUAACGGCUCACCUAGGCGACGAUCCCUAGCUGGUCUGAGAGGAUGACCAGCCACACUGGAACUGAGACACGGUCCAGACUCCUACGGGAGGCAGCAGUGGGGAAUAUUGCACAAUGGGCGCAAGCCUGAUGCAGCCAUGCCGCGUGUAUGAAGAAGGCCUUCGGGUUGUAAAGUACUUUCAGCGGGGAGGAAGGGAGUAAAGUUAAUACCUUUGCUCAUUGACAUUACCCGCAGAGGAAGCACCGGCUAACUCCGUG
rnacentral:rRNA from 1 species